UACGUAGGGCGCAAGCGUUAUCCGGAAUUAUUGGGCGUAAAGAGCUCGUAGGCGGUUUGUCGCGUCUGCCGUGAAAGUCCGGGGCUCAACUCCGGAUCUGCGGUGGGUACGGGCAGACUAGAGUGAUGUAGGGGGAGACUGGAAUUCCUGGUGUAGCGGUGAAAUGCGCAGAUAUCAGGAGGAACACCGAUGGCGAAGGCAGGUCUCUGGGCAUUAACUGACGCUGAGGAGCGAAAGCAUGGGGAGCGAACAGG
rnacentral:rRNA from 1 species